rnacentral:rRNA from 1 species
UACGUCGGGUGCAAGCGUUAAUCGGAAUUACUGGGCGUAAAGCGUGCGCAGGCGGCUUUGCAAGCCAGAUGUGAAAUCCCCGGGCUUAACCUGGGAACUGCAUUUGUGACUGCAUGGCUGGAGUGCGGCAGAGGGGGAUGGAAUUCCGCGUGUAGCAGUGAAAUGCGUAGAUAUGCGGAGGAACACCGAUGGCGAAGGCAAUCCCCUGGGCCUGCACUGACGCUCAUGCACGAAAGCGUGAGGAGCAAACAGG